CUAGGUCAAUGUUAAUGUUGUCGCCUUAUCGUCGUAAUGCUUUCCUAUGGUCGGCUCUUUUGAUAGAGUGGAUUUUCUUCACUUUUUUUCUUUUUGAGAAAUUGAUAGAGCGAACUUUAUGCGCCAAUUAAAAGCUUAGAUGAAUUUUAGUCUACCCCUAGACUUGUAAUUGUCAUGAGUUUCUACUGAAGUGCUAAUAUACUUGGUCUUUAUAUGCUACAUG
rnacentral:lncRNA from 1 species